ACGCCUGUAUCUCAGUGGAUAGAGCAUCUGUUUCCUAAGCAUAAAGUCAUAGGUUCGACCCCUACCUGGCGCG
rnacentral:tRNA from 1 species